GUGAGGAAUAUUGGUCAAUGGACGGGAGUCUGAACCAGCCAAGUCGCGUGAAGGAAGACGGUUCUAUGAAUUGUAAACUUCUUUUGUGCAGGAAUAAAGUGGGUUACGUGUAACCUUUUGUAUGUACUGUACGAAUAAGGAUCGGCUAACUCCGUGCCAGCAGCCGCGGUAAUACGGAGGAUCCGAGCGUUAUCCGGAUUUAUUGGGUUUAAAGGGUGCGUAGGUGGAUUGAUAAGUCAGCGGUGAAAGUUUGCAGCUUAACUGUAAAAUUGCCGUUGAAACUGUCGGUCUUGAGUGCAAAUGAGGUAGGCGGAAUGUGUUGUGUAGCGGUGAAAUGCUUAGAUAUAACACAGAACUCCGAUUGCGAAGGCAGCUUACUGGGAUGCAACUGACACUGAUGCACGAAAGCGUGGGUAUCAAACAGGAUUAGAUACCCGGGUAGUCC
rnacentral:rRNA from 1 species